UGGGAUGUGACAACAAUGAGAGCUGGAUCAUGAGGUGAGGAGGUAGUUUAUUGGAGGUCUACCUUUGAAGCAGAUAUCUUCUUUGGUUUCCCCCAUGAUGAUACGAGGGAACUCUAGGUCCUCUCUUGGGGUUCUUAGCCUCAUUAAUAAGAUAAUUUAAAAUUGAAUCAACGGGAAGCUUGAGGGCAAAUUUAAUCAGAGUUUAAAAGAAAAAUCCCAGGGCAGACAAGCCAUAAAAUAAAUCUCAUCAACUACCUGGAGGAGGAGAAUGGAAGGGAGAAGAAAAACUAUGCCGUUGGAGUUAUCAGCAUGCAGACAUUCAACAUGGCAUCAAGAAAUCCUGUGGUGGAGAAGGGGAACUUAAAAAACAAUUACGGAAGCCUGAAGUAUCCAAAAAUCACAGGUAGAUUCUGGCCAAUAUCUGAAAGGAGACAGAAAGAAGAAAAAAGUGGCUUGUUAGAGACUACACUAGAAGGCAAACUUCUAAGAAAGACAGGUCAGGCAGAAUAAGUUGGAAACCAGCCACUAAUUCCUUUCUCCCAGAAUUCCUUUCUCCCAGAUGGCAUAAAGGGAGGAACUCUGUAUAAGGGAAGCUGUUUAAAAUCAGUACUAUGAUAGCAGAAGCAAAUAUUUUAAUAGAAAGGUUGAAGCAAUACCAAAGAAGUCUCCCAUGAGGCACAACAAAAGAUUAAUGAGGCACAAUGAGGAAAGGUGCAAUGUAUCCAAAGAGCAAUUCAGGAAGAAGCACGAGGAAGCCAUGUUGAAAGGAAAAUAAUUCUUCUACCUAAGGAAAAGAGGUCUCAGGCUAGAAGUGGAAAUAUACUUUCCACACCCCACACCCCACACCCCACACCCCAUACCCCACACCCCUGCCUUUGCCUUAGAAACCUGCACAGUGAUGGAGGAAGUGGUUGUGGAGGGGAAACUGCACCAGGCUCACUAUUCUACAGUACUUUUUUGAUGUAGACUCACUAUAUUGCACAGAGUGUUCUAAAAAAAAAAAAAAAGGC